rnacentral:lncRNA from 1 species
AUAUACCUUUAAAUCCAGCCUUGUGCGUAUGUGGUGAGGAUUGCUAUGAGGAGGUGUGGGUGUUUCAUUUUAGGGACUAAUCACUUGUUAAAGUUGAAUGACCUUUAAGUUGGGGUGGUCUGAAGGAAUUAGUAUUAGAGAAAUACUGGGUGUUUGUGAAGACAACAUUUGUGAUAAAAAUAGGAGUGAAAGAAAGGAUUUAGAGAUGUCAACUGAAAGAGAAAGGGGUUGUUGUAGUAGUGUGGGAUUGUUCUAUUAAGAGUGAAGGAGAGAAAGUUUAAGGAAGGAGAAAGAAGAAGGUGAUAGCCGAAUUACAUGAGAUAAUGGGCAUAGAGUUUUACUGUGAUAGAAAGGAAGUGGAAUGAAUAAGAAAUGGGUUUAACUAUUGGGAGAGUUAGUAACAGUAAAGAAAGAAGACAAGAUAAUUAGAAAGAAUAAUUUUGGAGUUCUGUAAUGUUAAACGAAAUGAGUUUAGGUGGCGAGAAAGGAGAGUUACAAGAUGCUUCUGGGAUGUUAAAGUGAGAGAGAAUAAUUUGCAGAGGAGUUAAAUAUUCUGUGAUGUAUUUAAGAUGAGGAUGUUAUAAUGUGGAAAUAUAUUAUAAAGGAAGAAAGUGGUGAAAGAAGUGCAGGGGAAAUACUAAAGAGACCAAAUGUGGGUGUUUAAAUAAUGCAUGGGUUCUCUGUUUAUGGUUAAUGUUACGUGAAGAAGAAAAGCAUUAUGGAGUUUAGAAAGAGAGAAAGUGAGAAGAUUGGGGUAUGUUAGGUUAGUAUUGGGAUAUAUAUAUAUAUAUAUAUAUAUAUAUAUAUAUAUAUAGGGGUUUGCUAACUUGCGUAUGCCUGUUUUUCAGUUGGUACAUUUUAGCAAUGUGUACCGGAUUUCAAUAGACAAAAAUACCCUUAUAUAUCAUGAAUUAAGUUUUAAGGUUAAGGAUAUUUUAAUAAUUUUCAUUUUCAAAAUUAAAAAAAUAAAAAAAGAAACCCUCCAAACCCUUGCCCACCUCUCUCAUCUCUCACAACCCUUCCUCUUUCAUCUCUUUCACUC